GGCUAGCUCUUAGUGGCGGAGGGUUAGUAAUACAUAGAUAAUCUGCGGUGAACUUGGGAAUAACAGCUGGAAACGGUUGCUAAUACCGAAUGUGGUGGCUCCAGGAUCUGGAGUUAUUAAAGUGGGGGAUCGUAAGACCUCGCGGUUUACAAAGAGUCUAUGCGAUAUCAGCUAGUUGGUAGGGUAAUGGCCUACCAAGGCUAAGACGUCUAGGCGGAUUGAGAGAUUGACCGCCAACACUGGGACUGAGACACUGCCCAGACUCCUACGGGAGGCUGCAGUCGAGAAUCUUUCGCAAUGGACGAAAGUCUGACGAAGCGACGCCGUGUGUGUGAUGAAGGCCUUCGGGUUGUAAAGCACUUUCGCUUGAGAACAAGAGAGACUGGCUAAUAUCCGGUCGAUUUGAGCGUAUCAGGUAAAGAAGGACCGGCUAACUCCGUGCCAGCAGCUGCGGUAAUACGGAGGGUCCAAGCGUUAAUCGGAUUUAUUGGGCGUAAAGGGCGCGUAGGCGGAAAAAAAAGUUGGGUGUGAAAUCCCGGGGCUCAACCUCGGACACGCAUUCAAAACUCUUUUUCUAGAGGAUAAGCGGAGUAAAGGGAAUUCCACGUGUAGCGGUGAAAUGCGUAGAUAUGUGGAAGAACACCGGCGGCGAAGGCGCUUUUCUAGCUUAUUCCUGACGCUGAGGCGCGAAAGUGGGGGGAGCAAACAGGAUUAGAUACCCUGGUAGUCCUCACUGUAAACGGUGUACACUUGACGUAGUUGGUCUCAACCCCAACUGUGUCGUAGCUAACGCGAUAAGUGUACCGCCUGGGGAGUACGCUCGCAAGGGUGAAACUUAAAAGAAUUGACGGGGGCCCGCACAGGCAGUGGAGCAUGCGGUUUAAUUCGAUGCAACGCGAAGAACCUUACCCAGACU
rnacentral:rRNA from 1 species